AGAGUUUGAUCAUGGCUCAGGAUAAACGCUGGCGGCGUGCCUAACACAUGCAAGUCGAACGCCCUCUCGCAAGAGAGGGAGUGGCGGACGGGUGAGUAACACGUGGAUGAUCUGCCUUGAGGUGAGGAAUACCACCGAGAAAUCGGUGACAAAACCGCAUAGGUUUCUCUCAGGAGAAACAAAGUCGCAAGACGCCUCAAGAUGAGUCCGCGGCUGAUUAGCUAGUUGGUGGGGUAAUGGCUCACCAAAGCGACGAUCAGUAGCUGGUCUGAGAGGACGAGCAGCCACACUGGGAUUGAGAACGGCCCAGACUCCUACGGGGGGCAGCAGUGAGGAAUUUUCGGCAAUGGGGGCAACCCUGACCGAGCAACGCCGCGUGCAGGAGGACACUUUUCGGAGCGUAAACUGCUUUUCUCGGGGACGAGAACGGACGGUACCCGAGGAAGAAGCCCCGGCUAACUACGUGCCAGCAGCCGCGGUAAUACGUAGGGGGCGAGCGUUGUCCGGAUUUAUUGGGCGUAAAGCGCACGCAGGCGGUUUUGUGCGUUGGAGGUGACAGCGGGCCCCUUACGGGACCGAGGGCCUCCAAAACGGCAGAACUUGAGACCUUGAGAGGGAUAGGGAACUCCGGGUGGAGUGGUGAAGUGCGUAGAUAUCCGGAAGAACACCAAAGGCGAAGGCACUAUCCUGGCAAGGCUCUGACGCUCAGGUGCGAAAGCUAGGGGAGCGAACGGGAUUAGAUACCCCGGUAGUCCUAGCCGUAAACGAUGACCACUAGGCGUGGGGGGUAUCGACCCCUUCCGUGCCGUAGCUAACGCGAGAAGUGGUCCGCCUGGGGAGUACGGUCGCAAGAUUAAAACUCAAAGGAAUUGAUGGGGACCCGCACAAGCAGCGGAGCGUGUGGUUUAAUUCGAUGCAACGCGAAGAACCUUACCAGGGUUUGACAUGCCGUCGCCCCUCUCUGAGAGGAGAGUUCCCGCAAGGGACGGCGGCACAGGUGCUGCAUGGCUGUCGUCAGCUCGUGUCGUGGGGUGUUGGGUUAAGUCCCGCAACGAGCGCAACCCUCAUCGUCGGUUACUGGUGUCCGAGGAGACUGCCACUCACAAAGUGGAGGAAGGCGGGGAUGACGUCAAGUCAGCACGGCCCUUACACCCUGGGCGACACACACGCUACAAUGGCCGGUACAAAGGGUUGCCAACCCGCGAGGGGGAGCUAAUCCCAACAAAACCGGUCUCAGUUCAGAUUGGAGGCUGCAACCCGCCUCCAUGAAGAUGGAGUUGCUAGUAACCGUGAGUCAGCACAUCACGGUGAAUACGUUCCCGGGUCUUGUACACACCGCCCGUCACACCACGAAAGUCGGCAACACCUGAAGCCGUCGGGCUAACCCGCAAGGGAGGCAGGCGUCGAGGGUGGGGUCGGUGAUUGGGGUGAAGUCGUAACAAGGUAAAG
rnacentral:rRNA from 1 species